GAUAGGGUUAUUUGUUGGGCAAUCCCGGCACAGAUAGGCGUCUAGAGGAAAAUGCAAGGGUACAUUUUUCCUAUAACUUGGGGUCUGUAUCUUAUGAACUCUACCAGUCGAUGAGAGUAAACUGUAAAGGAAAUUAUCUCAACUUUGAUCUUUCAAAUGGGAAUUGUUCCAGAGAUCGCCGAGCAUUUGAAAAGUUAAUUGCAGGAAUAAAUAGGAAGCAAGCUAUGGAACCCCUAUGUGAUAAUACACUUAUUCCUUCAUGGAAGCCCAAAGAGAUGAUUGAAAAUGGACGGCGAAGGUCUUUUGUUAAUAUCAAAAAAGGUUUUGAAGGGGAAAAUCAUCUUCUUCCUCCUAGUUGCUUUCGGGUAACUCUCCUUAUCUUCCUUGCUCUAGUACUUACAUGCACAAAACAAUCACCGGUCUUCUGAAUUUUACUUGUUCAUACAAUAAAAAUUAUAGAAUUAUGGUUAUGUAUUGUUGGAGUAUUGGGCGAACGAUGAUGGGGUUCGAAAAGCACUCCAUGUAAAAGAGGUAUAUUUGUGUGAAAAACUUAAGUUUGCACGUAUAUACGUUUCACGCUGAAUACCAAAGCAAGGUUAGGUGUUGAGAAAAUCAGUUUGUAAUUUCUUCUCUAACAUUAUUUUAUGCAAUUAUACGUACUAUUAUUAUGAGUUAACAUUGUACAGGGAACAACCAAAAAAUGGGUAAGGUGCAAUAGGGACUUAAGGUAUGGAAGUGAGCUCGUAAACAGUAUAGAAUAUUAUCACAACAUUAGCACCAAAGGUUAUAGGUCUCUUAUUUUCAAGUAAGUUCAGGAAAGCAUUAUAAAGUACGUGGAUAUUUUCUUUUCUAACUUGAUUUAUGAAUCAAAUUUAGGUUCGAGUCAGAUGUCAAGUCGUUUGUUUUUGCAGUUGCGCAUGAUGUACUUCCCUGGGGAAAUGUUUUUUCUUUAUUUAUUGAAUAACCUAUGAACAGCCUUUUUUAUCUUCAAAUUACAGUGGUGAUCUUGAUAUAGUAGUUCCACAUAUAUCUACGGAAGCAUGGAUAAGAAGAUUCACCAACUUAUCCAUAACAAAUGACUGGCAACCGUGGUUUGUGAGUGAACAAGUUGCAGGGGAGCCGGCCAUUCAGCUCCAGAAUACAAACCAACAGAAUGUUAUGCCAUGUUUGAGAGGUGGAUUUCAAAUUCUCCAUUGUGAAAGGAUCAUCUCAACAAGGCCUCUUGGAUGAAUCACUAGAGCAGAAGAAGCUGAAGUAUACACAUCUCUA